rnacentral:rRNA from 1 species
UUGAUAUUCACGAAUCGAAUCAAAGUUUCUGCUUCACGCUAUAUCAAGUGCCAACACAUACAGGAACUGAGUACUGAAUGUUGAAUGCCGGAUAGCGGCGGACGGGUGAGUAACGCGUGGGCAACCUGCCUCAUACUGGGGGAUAACACAGGGAAACUUGUGCUAAUACCGCAUAAUAUCAUUAUAGGGCAUCCUGUGAUGAUCAAAGGAGCAAUCCGGUGUGAGAUGGGCCCGCGUCCAAUUAGCUAGUUGGUGGGGUAACGGCCCACCAAGGCGACGAUUGGUAGCCGAACUGAGAGGUUGAUCGGCCACAUUGGGACUGAGACACGGCCCAGACUCCUACGGGAGGCAGCAGUGGGGAAUAUUGCGCAAUGGGGGAAACCCUGACGCAGCAACGCCGCGUGAAGGAUGAAGGUCUUCGGAUUGUAAACUUCUUUGAUGAGGGACGAACACAAUGACGGUACCUCAAAAACAAGCCACGGCUAACUACGUG